GCUUAUAUAGUUUAAAAAAAACAUUAUAUUUUCAUUAUAAAAAUAAAAUUAUUUUUUAUAGGUU
rnacentral:tRNA from 1 species